GACGAACGCUGGCGGCGUGCUUAACACAUGCAAGUCGAACGGAAAGGCCUUUUCGGAGGUACUCGAGUGGCGAACGGGUGAGUAACACGUGGGUGAUCUGCCCUGCACUCUGGGAUAAGCCUGGGAAACUGGGUCUAAUACCGGAUAGGACCGCACUUUAGUGUGUGUGGGGGAAAGUUUUUUCGGUGUAGGAUGAGCCCGCGGCCUAUCAGCUUGUUGGUGGGGUAAUGGCCUACCAAGGCGGCGACGGGUAGCCGGACUGAGAGGUUGGUCGGCCACAUUGGGACUGAGAGACGGCCCAGACUCCUACGGGAGGCAGCAGUGGGGAAUAUUGCACAAUGGGCGCAGGCCUGAUGCAGCGACGCCGCGUGGGGGAUGACGGCCUUCGGGUUGUAAACUCCUUUCGCCAGGGACGAAGCGUUUUGUGACGGUACCUGGAGAAGAAGCACCGGCUAACUACGUG
rnacentral:rRNA from 1 species